CGCCACAGGCAAAUGCACAGGUCCAUCUGCUCCCCUGGUGGCCGCAGUCUGUGGGAGGAUAGGAAUGAGAAGGAAGAAGACUUCAGCUCUUGCUGUUCCCUUCCAGAGUGGAAAUCACAAGAUCAGUGGGCAGGAGCUGUGGAAUUAUUCAACAGAUCACUCAUCCCAGAUCAAAUGGGUCAAUUGGCUCCACUUCCAGAAAGGUCUUGACACUUCUUGAAUUGUCAGGCUAAGACCUGAAGAAGGAGGAACCCCUGGAUUCCUGAGUCAAGGUGAAGUUGGGCUGCCAAGAACCAGGAGAGUGGAGAUUGUCAGGAAGGAAAGUUUGGAUACUGAAGGUGGACCAGGUCAUGACAAGAAUUAUGACCUGAUCUCUGGUACUUGUCAAGUUCUAAAGGCUGUUCAGUGGUACAUCUGGGACACUGUCUAUUCCUCAAAGAUCCCUACUCAGCAAGACUGGGCCAUUUUCAAAGGGGAAGAAGGAUGAUAGAGCCCUUUACCGCCCCCUUCCAAAGAGCUCCUGGUGAAUUUUAAGAUCUCUUGAGGUCAAAGAGUAGGACAGUCAGUUCUGGAAGAGCUGAAAUGACUCUGUCUUUUGCUUCUCUGCAAGAACUGAUGAAUAAUUCAAAGCAAAAAGUACAGAAGCUCUGCCAGAGAAGGGCAGCUCAGAGCAGAGACAUCCUGCUAGGUUGCCAUGGGACUGAGUUCUCAAAGGAAAGGCCCUCUCUCCAUCUUGUGCCCUCCUUAGUAUCCCUAACACGGGUCUCACUUGGCUCCUAGGAAGCUGUGUUCUUUUUCAGCCAAGGAAGUAAAUGCUCACUCCAGAAAGGCCCUGGAGAAACUUCAAAACUUGAAGGGAACAAGAGAGAAUGAAGAUGCCAAAGCCCCCCUGCCCAGACAUUUGCAUUGUGAUGAGAGGCCAAAUGAGAGGGUAUCACCGAGGAGAAGAGGAGAGGUAGGAAAAGCGUUUGGCUUGCUGGGGAACGCCGGAGACUUGUCUGGACCUCACUGCUGCCACCUUCCCCACUCGGACACAGGCUCUUCCAAAGGCAAGCCUUGUCCACAAAGCAGCCCUUCCCCAUAGGCUCAUCUUGCUCUAGACUUGUUGAUUAUCAGAAAGAGUCAGUAUCAGGAGACCAUGAACACAGCUGAUGCCUGCCUCCAGCUGGAACUAACACACCGACAAGUCAGAUUCCUUGGCCAGAGAGAUAACGAUCCAGUUGACUGGGCUUGGCCUCCAAAUCCAGGUGUCCAGGAUAUUUUAUUGCAUCUUAUCACACUGAGAAAAUACUUGUAAGCAAACGGAGCCCACGCCGCUUCCUCUGGACAAGCAGCUGUGCAAAGGUCCUGACACACAAGCCCAUGAUCACAGACUUGCCCAACAGAAAGGCAAUCCUGCUCCUCCCAGCCUCUCUUUGCUUUCCUCACCCUGUGAGGAUGACUUGAAGACUGUCCUAGGAAGCCACACCCCAAAAUAAUGAGAAGAAAGCCUGUGCCAAGAUAAGUGAACCUUCAGAGCGUGCCUUAUUCAUACCACUUACGGUAUUCAUACCUAUUUAAGGAUAAAGAAAGCAGUUAUAUAAAAGUGUGGAAUGGCAACUAAUCAGAAAUCAUAGCAGCCAAAUCCAGGUUUUGCUGUGAGACAAAGGAAUGGGUGUUGAGCUCAGUCAAUCCUCAUUAAUCCUCAGCAACACUCCCCAAAACACAGAGUACGGCACAGUGCUGAGUGUAGAUUCUAAUCAGUGAACCAAACCCCGGCGUCUUAGACAUAGUCAUUCCUUGGAAUAGUGUGGUCUGAUAACUUUUUGGUUACCUAGUGAUAAUUAAACAUCAAAUUUCACCAAAACAGAUGUCUCCACUUUUUUUGUUGAUAGAGAUUGCCCUAUUUCCCCAAAAACAUGUAAUUGAGGGCAGGAGGAAUGAUGCCAUGGGAGUCUGUGAAUGUGUGUGCACAUAUGUGAG